GAUCUUGUAGGCCAGGAGCAGGCAUAUGGUCUCCACGCUCUGUUUUCCUCUGUCCACGUAGUCUCCCAGGAAUAGAUAAUUGGAAUCCGGCGGAAACCCACCGUACUCGAACAGUCGCAACAGAUGAGCAUCUCGAACAAUAUGAAGGUGAAUGCAUGAAUGAAUAAACUCACCACAGACGUUUAUGGGAGCCUCCAAUUCCAGAAGGUUUGGCUGGCUUAGAAACAGAUCUUUGGCCGUGCUGCAAAGGUUCCGAAUUUCUGACUCCACCAGUUGAAUCCGUUUCCCCCUGUUCUUCCUUACUUCCAAAAGCCUAUCUAUCAAACCAUCCAAUCCUUCCAUUACCCUCCGAUUCUCUUCUCUUCUCUUCUAUUCCCAACAGCUUUUGGUAUCGGAGAGCCAGGUUGUAAAUCUGCGUGAGGAAGAGUGAAAGUGCAUUAUUGUGAGUGUGCAGAUAUGGCUACUGCUGGUGUCAUACCAGGGAAUCUUCCUGUGUUUGAUGGGCAAGGAUACGAGGAUUGACGCAUGAUGGAGGUUAUCUUUGUCUUGUUAGUUAGUUUUAUAUUUAAAUAAUUCUCCUAUUGGAGAACUGGUCUUUUAUUUAGUUGCGUAAGACUCGUCUAUUUCUGUGACAUUUUAUGUUUUACGUUUGUAAUUGUUAUGCACUAGUUCAAAUUCUGUUUUAAGGCUUUUUAUAAGCUUGAUAUGCAUUCUCUAUACCUUUCUAAGUGUGAAAUAUAUCAUUGCAAUAACAAUUUAGAAAAAUUUG